rnacentral:rRNA from 1 species
UACGAAGGGGGCUAGCGUUGCUCGGAAUCACUGGGCGUAAAGCGCACGUAGGCGGCUUUUUAAGUCAGGGGUGAAAUCCUGGAGCUCAACUCCAGAACUGCCUUUGAUACUGGGAAGCUUGAGUCCGGAAGAGGUGAGUGGAACUCCGAGUGUAGAGGUGAAAUUCGUAGAUAUUCGGAAGAACACCAGUGGCGAAGGCGGCUCACUGGCCCGGUACUGACGCUGAGGCGCGAAAGCGUGGGGAGCAAACAGG